rnacentral:rRNA from 1 species
ACGGAAGGCAGCAGUGGGGAAUAUUGCACAAUGGGGGAAACCCUGAUGCAGCGACGCCGCGUGAGUGAAGAAGUAUUUCGGUAUGUAAAGCUCUAUCAGCAGGGAAGAUAAUGACGGUACCUGACUAAGAAGCACCGGCUAAAUACGUGCCAGCAGCCGCGGUAAUACGUAUGGUGCAAGCGUUAUCCGGAUUUACUGGGUGUAAAGGGAGCGUAGACGGCAUGGCAAGUCUGAAGUGAAAGCCUGGGGCUCAACCCCGGAACUGCUUUGGAAACUGUUAAGCUAGAGUGCAGGAGAGGUAAGUGGAAUUCCUAGUGUAGCGGUGAAAUGCGUAGAUAUUAGGAGGAACACCAGUGGCGAAGGCGGCUUACUGGACGAUAACUGACGUUGAGGCUCGAAAGCGUGGGGAGCAAACAGGAUUAGAUACCCUGGUA